CAGACGAUGCGUCAUGCAUAUCAAUAAGCGGAGGAAAAGAAACUAACAAGGAUUCCCCUAGUAACGGCGAGUGGAGCGGGAAGAGCUCAAAUUUGAAAUCUUAAAGGGUUUCCCUUUACGAAUUGUAGUUUAAAGAAGUGUUUUCUGUUGAGGUUUUGGUAAAAGUUCUUUGGAAUAGGACAUCAUAGAGGGUGAGAAUCCCGUAUUUGACCUUUACUUUCAACUUUGUGAUACACUUUCAAAGAGUCGGAUUGUUUGGGAAUGCAGUCCAAAAUGGGUGGUAAAUUUCAUCUAAAGCUAAAUAUUGGCGAGAGACCGAUAGCGAACAAGUACCGUGAGGGAAAGAUGAAAAGAACUUUGAAAAGAGAGUUAAACAGUACGUGAAAUUGUCAAAAGGGAAGCGUUUGACACCAGUGUUGUUUUUCUGAAAAUCAAUUAAAGAACUGUUUAUUGCUAAGCUUGUUUAGACUUUAUCAGCUAAUCUGUUUAGUUUUGAGCUUUUCUUUAAUGCACUUUUCAGUUAACAAGUCAACAUCAAUUUCUUUUGCUGUAAAAAAGCUUGAGGAAGGUGGCUUGAGAUUCGUCUUAAGUGUUUAUAGCCUCUUGCCUAUGCAGUCGGAGAGAUUGAGGUCUGCAGCGUAGAUCCUUCGGGGCUAAAUGCAUUUGUGCUAAGUUAUAGCAUUUUAUAGACAACUUGUUGACUAUGAUUUGUCUUGUAGCUUACUCGCUUAUGUUAUUUUACCUACGCUUAGGAUGUUGACACACGCGCGUGCUCG
rnacentral:rRNA from 1 species